GGUUAGUUUCCAGGGAGAAAAAGCAUGACUUCCCAUGGGCAGCAGUGGGGCCCCAAGGAUGGAGCCGCCUGACAGCCCUCAUGGCAAACACAGGAGAAGAACAAAUAACAUCUAUUCAAAAAAAGACACAACUGAGAGAAUCCUAGAACACAGAUGCAGCUGAAGCAAUGCUCUGCAGCACAGAGACCAAGGCAGACUGCAUUUGAAGGGUACUUUCAUGGGAAGGUUUGAAAAACAGGACAUGGAAUACUCGAGAAGGUAUUUCUGAGAGACAACAGUUGCCACCAUCCAAGGCUCUAAGUUGACCUGGAAAUCAAAACUAUUAUACCUCCGAAAGGUUAUGACUCCUCUGUCAACUCCAGUCUAUUGGUAGUGUUUCCUUGGAAGAGCUUUGCUGGGAUAGAUUCUGAGACUUGUGUUUAGUUCAGCAGUGUUUAGAUUAGCAAUGUGUUCCAGUGCUGGGGGAGGUGAUCCAUGGCAGUUUGCUUUAAUGAUUCACUAUAGAUUAAUAUGAGAAUCUAUUUAAAUCUUUGAC
rnacentral:lncRNA from 1 species